rnacentral:rRNA from 1 species
AACCUCCGCAAUGUGAGAAAUCGCGACGGGGGGAUCCCAAGUGCCAUUCUUAACGGGAUGGCUUUUCAUUAGUGUAAAGAGCUUUUGGAAUAAGAGCUGGGCAAGACCGGUGCCAGCCGCCGCGGUAACACCGGCAGCUCUAGUGGUAACAAUUUUUAUUGGGCCUAAAGCGUCCGUAGCCGGUUUAAUAAGUCUCUGGUGAAAUCCUGUAGCUUAACUGUGGGAAUUGCUGGAGAUACUAUUAGACUUGAGACCGGGAGAGGUUAGAGGUACCCCCAGGGUAGAGGUGAAAUUCUGUAAUCCUGGGAGGACCGCCUGUUGCGAAGGCGUCUAACUGGAACGGUUCUGACGGUGAGGGACGGAAGUUAGGGGCGCGAACCGGAUUAGAUACCCGGGUAGUCCUAACUGUAAACGAUGCGGACUUGGUGUUGGGGUGGCUUUGAGCUGCUCCAGUGCCGAAGGGAAGCUGUUAAGUCCGCCGCCUGGGAAGUACGGUCACAAGACUGAAACUUAAAGGAAUU